AUUGAACGCUGGCGGCAGGCCUAACACAUGCAAGUCGAACGAGUGGCGGACGGGUGAGUAAUGUCUGGGAAACUGCCCGAUGGAGGGGGAUAACUACUGGAAACGGUAGCUAAUACCGCAUACCAUCGGAUGUGCCCAGAUGGGAUUAGCUAGUAGGUGGGGUAACGGCUCACCUAGGCGACGAUGCCUAGCUGGUCUGAGAGGAUGACCAGCCGCACUGGAACCGAGACACGGUCCACACUCCUACGGCAGGAAGCAGUGGGGAAUAUUGCACAAUGGGCGCUAGACUUAUGCAGCCAUGCCGCGUGUAUGACGAAGGCCUUCGCGUUGUAAAGUACUUGCAGCGAGGAGGCGUUACUCGCAACAGAAGCACCGGCUAACUCCGUGCCAGCAGCCGCGGUAAUAC
rnacentral:rRNA from 1 species